UAUGAAUAUGAGGUCCCCACUGCAGUUU
rnacentral:sRNA from 1 species